rnacentral:rRNA from 1 species
AGUGAACGCUGGCGGUAGGCCUAACACAUGCAAGUCGAACGGCAGCACAGUAAGAGCUUGCUCUUACGGGUGGCGAGUGGCGGACGGGUGAGGAAUACAUCGGAAUCUACUUUUUCGUGGGGGAUAACGUAGGUAAACUUACGCUAAUACCGCAUACGACCUACGGGUGAAAGCAGUGGAUCUUCUGACCUUGCGCGAUUGAAUGAGCCGAUGUCGGAUUAGCUAGUUGGCGGGGUAAAGGCCCACCAAGGCGACGAUCCGUAGCUGGUCUGAGAGGAUGAUCAGCCACACUGGAACUGAGACACGGUCCAGACUCCUACGGGAGGCAGCAGUGGGGAAUAUUGGACAAUGGGCGCAAGCCUGAUCCAGCCAUACCGAGUGGGUGAAGAAGGCCUUCGGGUUGUAAAGCCCUUUUGUUGGGAAAGAAAAGCAGCAGGUUAAUACCCCGCUGUUCUGACGGUACCCAAAGAAUAAGCACCGGCUAACUUCGUG